UCCUCCCUCUUUCUUCGUGCUUAACACAUGCAAGUCGAACGGAAAGGCCCUGCUUUUGUGGGGUGCUCGAGUGGCGAACGGGUGAGUAACACGUGAGUAACCUGCCCUUGACUUUGGGAUAACUUCAGGAAACUGGGGCUAAUACCGGAUAGGAGCUCCUGCUGCAUGGUGGGGGUUGGAAAGUUUCGGCGGUUGGGGAUGGACUCGCGGCUUAUCAGCUUGUUGGUGGGGUAGUGGCUUACCAAGGCUUUGACGGGUAGCCGGCCUGAGAGGGUUACCGGCCACAUUGGGACUGAGAUACGGCCCAGACUCCUACGGGAGGCAGCAGUGGGGAAUAUUGCACAAUGGGCGGAAGCCUGAUGCAGCAACGCCGCGUGCGGGAUGACGGCCUUCGGGUUGUAAACCGCUUUCGCCUGUGACGAAGCGUGAGUGACGGUAAUGGGUAAAGAAGCACCGGCUAACUACGUG
rnacentral:rRNA from 1 species